AAAGUACUCCCUUUGUCCCAAAAUUCUUGUCUUAGAUUUGUCUAGAUAUGGAUGUAUCAAGUCACAUUUUAGUAUUAGAUACAUCCGUAUCUAGACAAAUCUAAGACAAGAAAUUUGGGACAGAGGGAGUAGUUG
rnacentral:pre_miRNA from 1 species